rnacentral:rRNA from 1 species
GGGGAAUAUUGCACAAUGGGGGAAACCCUGAUGCAGCGACGCCGCGUGGAGGAAGAAGGUCUUCGGAUUGUAAACUCCUGUUGUUGAGGAAGAUAAUGACGGUACUCAACAAGGAAGUGACGGCUAACUACGUGCCAGCAGCCGCGGUAAAACGUAGGUCACAAGCGUUGUCCGGAAUUACUGGGUGUAAAGGGAGCGCAGGCGGGCGAUCAAGUUGGAAGUGAAAUCCAUGGGCUCAACCCAUGAACUGCUUUCAAAACUGGUCGUCUUGAGUAGUGCAGAGGUAGGCGGAAUUCCCGGUGUAGCGGUGGAAUGCGUAGAUAUCGGGAGGAACACCAGUGGCGAAGGCGGCCUACUGGGCACCAACUGACGCUGAGGCUCGAAAGUGUGGGUAGCAAACAGGAUUAGAUACCCUGGUAGUCCACACCGUAAACGAUGAUUACUAGGUGUUGGGAGAUUGACCCUCUCAGUGCCGCAGUUAACACAAUAAGUAAUCCACCUGGGGAGUACGACCGCAAGGUUGAAACUCAAAGGAAUUGACGGGGGCCCGUACAAGCAGUGGAGUAUGUGGUUUAAUUCGACGCAACGCGAAGAACCUUACCAAGUCUUGACAUCCUCUGACGAACGUAGAAAUACGUUUUCUCUUCGGAGCAGAGAGACAGGUGGUGCAUGGUUGUCGUCAGCUCGUGUCGUGAGAUGUUGGGUUAAGUCCCGCAACGAGCGCAACCCUUAUGGUCAGUUACUACGCAAGAGGACUCUGGCCAGACUGCCGUUGACAAAACGGAGGAAGGUGGGGAUGACGUCAAAUCAUCAUGCCCUUUAUGACUUGGGCUACACACGUACUACAAUGGCGUUAAACAAAGAGAGGCAAGACCGCGAGGUGGAGCAAAACUCAGAAACAACGUCCCAGUUCGGACUGCAGGCUGCAACUCGCCUGCACGAAGUCGGAAUUGCUAGUAAUCGUGGAUCAGCAUGCCACGGUGAAUACGUUCCCG